GCCCGAGCCUUCCUGUGGAACUCCCCGAAGAACUUGGUCCCUCAUUUGGGAACAGCAACAAUCAAGAAGACCUGCCAAUGUCAGAACUGGAAGAGUACCAGAUUCCCAGAUUUAGUUCCAACAGUCAAGAGUCAAGGACUAUUCUAAGCUCUGAAGAUGCUGUAUUGGAAGCCUUUCCCCAUCCACCAGCAGAAUAUGAGGAAAUAGUCUGCAAAAUGUAACUGCUUCUCCAGCUGCUAAUUGCACAAAAGCAGAUGGGGUCUUUGCGGAUGAUUAAGUUCAGAUGAGGUCAUGGGGGUAGGCCCUAAUCCAAUACGAUUGUGUCCUUAUGAAAAGGGAAAAUUGGACACAGAGACAGACAUGAAGUUGGAGAGAGCACCAUGUAAAGAUGAAGGCAGGAAUCGGGACAAUUUUCAAGCCAAGAAACACCCAAGAUUGCCAGGAAACCAGCAGAAGCUAGAAGGAAGACAUGGAACAGAAUCUCCUUCACAGUCUUCAGAAGGAGCCACCCCUGCCAACAUCUGGAUGAUCUUGGACUUCAAGCUUCCAGAGCUGUUCAAGCCUCCGAACAAUACAUUUCUGUUGAUUAAGCCAUGUAGUUUGUGGCACUUUAUUAUAGUAGCCCUAAGAAAUG